CUGGUCCCGGCGCUCCCCGCGCAAACGGACCCCGGCCGCAGCGCCCUCCGCCCCACCCUGGCGGCCCCAGCAGCCCCUGCACCCCCGAACUCGCGCGCCGGCUCCCCGGCUCACGCAGCUGGCCGCGCUGUGCUCUCCGCUCCAGUCUGGCGGCCCAAGGGGUUCCCCACAAGACCCUAGCGGAAACCUGGGCCUUAGUCCCGCGGUGCUUCCCAAACUGAGGACCGAACGGCUGGCCAGAUCUUACCCAGCCCACAAUGCUCCCGCCCGAGCUAACUCCUCCCGUCAGCGAUUCCACACCCCGAAAUCCCCCACAGACUAGGAGGAACUGGCGGGUGGAGAACUGGGAAUUAUGUAUGGCAAUAGCCCCAGAGGGAGGGAAAGCGUGUAUCUCCACUGGCGGAGGCGUGAGUUCGGUAGAGAAGAAAUAGCAAAAGUGCUCAAACUGCAGAGAAACCCCAAGGAGGAUUCUACUGCAGAAAACACCCACAAAGAGGCCAUGACAACUGGCAGCUGGAAAAGGCCGCCAAGACCAACAGAAGGGGCAUUUUCCAACUCCUUACUGAUUCCAUUGCAAGGUUAAAGUGGAAAACACUCAACAAUUUCUCCCCAGAACAGCCUGUGGCGCUUCCCCUCCUCCAAUGGAGAGGCCAGAGAGCCGUCAAUUAGAGAAGAAAUGAAUGGAGGUCAUCUCAACCCAGAAACGGAAAAAGGAGGAAGACGAAAAGUGGAGAUUGAAAAAUUGAUACAAUUUAUAAAAGGUGAUCCAGGGUCCUGUUCAGAGUUUCACAACUCAAUACACAUUGAAGAGAACACGAAAUGGACGAAGUGCAGCAUGCUGGCGUCCUGUCAAGGCUUUAUAUAUAAAAAUCCU
rnacentral:lncRNA from 1 species